CGGAGGGUGCAAGCGUUGUUCGGAAUUAUUGGGCGUAAAGCGCGCGCAGGCGGCCUGGAAAGUCUAUGGGUGAAAUGCCGGGGCUCAACCCCGUGCAUGCCCAGGAUACUGCCAGGCUGGAGACACGUAGAGGCAAGCGGAAUUCCGGGUGUAGCGGUGGAAUGCGUAGAGAUCCGGAAGAACACCGGAGGCGAAGGCGGCUUGCUGGGCGUGAUCUGACACUGAGGCGCGAAAGCGUGGGGAGCGAACAGGAUUAGAUACCCUGGUAGUCCACGCUGUAAACGAUGGGCACUGGAUGCGGGGGGGAUCGGCCCUCUCCGUGUCGCAGCUUACGCGUUAAGUGCCCCGCCUGGGGAGUACGGCCGCAAGGCUG
rnacentral:rRNA from 1 species